ACUCGGGGAGGUAGUGACAAUAAAUACUGAUACAGGGCUCUUUUGGGUCUUGUAAUUGGAAUGAGUACAAUUUAAAUCCCUUAACGAGGAACAAUUGGAGGGCAAGUCUGGUGCCAGCAGCCGCGGUAAUUCCAGCUCCAAUAGCGUAUAUUAAAGUUGUUGCAGUUAAAAAGCUCGUAGUUGAACCUUGGGCCUGGCUGGCCGGUCCGCCUCACCGCGUGCACUGGUUCGGCCGGGCCUUUCCCUCUGGGGAACCGCAUGCCCUUCACUGGGUGUGUCGGGGAACCAGGACUUUUACUGUGAAAAAAUUAGAGUGUUCAAAGCAGGCCUAUGCUCGAAUACAUUAGCAUGGAAUAAUAGAAUAGGACGUGUGGUUCUAUUUUGUUGGUUUCUAGGACCGCCGUAAUGAUUAAUAGGGACAGUCGGGGGCAUCAGUAUUCAAUUGUCAGAGGUGAAAUUCUUGGAUUUAUUGAAGACUAACUACUGCGAAAGCAUUUGCCAAGGAUGUUUUCAUUAAUCAGGAACGAAAGUUAGGGGAUCGAAGACGAUCAGAUACCGUCGUAGUCUUAACCAUAAACUAUGCCGACUAGGGAUCGGGCGAUGUUAUUAUUUGACUCGCUCGGCACCUUACGA
rnacentral:rRNA from 1 species